rnacentral:rRNA from 1 species
AUGCCGGCAACACGGGCCACUUUUCCGAUCAAAUACCUAGGCCUCCCACUUUCAGUUUGGCAACUUAAGAAGAUGGAUUUCCAAUACCUUGAGGAUAAGGCGGCCGGAAAAUUGGUUUCCUGGGAGGGCCAAAACAUCACUACCAUCAGUCGUACGACUCUUGUUAGGUCGGUCAUCUCCUCCCAAGCGGUGUUCUCCAUCACGCGCCUCGUCGUGCCUCAGGGCUGCCUCGAUAGCCUUAACAAAAUCGAGAGGGCUUUCCUUUGGUCUGGUGCGGACAAGGCAACGGGAGCCAAAUGCAAGGUCAACUGGAAGGUGGUUUAUAGACCAAAAGAAUACGGUGGCCUGGGGGUGCUCAACACCGACAAAUUCGCACGUGCUUUGCGGCUUCGAUGGUUGUGGUAUGAAUGGAAUGAGCCCCGCAAAUUAUGGGUUGGCCUGGGAAACCCCUGUACCGUCGAGGACUUCGAGUUUUUCUAUGCUUCUACGACUAUCUAG